GAUGAACGCUAGCGGCAGGCUUAACACAUGCAAGUCGAGCGGUAACAGAGAGAAGCUUGCUUCUCUGCUGACGAGCGGCGGACGGGUGAGUAAUGCCUAGGAAUCUGCCUAGUAGUGGGGGAUAACUUGCCGAAAGGUAAGCUAAUACCGCAUACGUCCUACGGGAGAAAGGAGGGGACCUUCGGGCCUUUCGCUAUUAGAUGAGCCUAGGUCGGAUUAGUUAGUUGGUGAGGUAAUGGCUCACCAAGACCGCGAUCCGUAACUGGUCUGAGAGGAUGAUCAGGCACACUGGAACUGAGACACGGGCCAGACUCCUACGGGAGGCAGCAGUGGGGAAUAUUGGACAAUGGGGUGAACCCUGAUCCAGCCAUGCCGCGUGUGUGAAGAAGGUCUUAGGAUUGUAAAGCACUUUAAGUUGGGAGGAAGAGCAGUUAACUAAUAUUUGACUGUUUUGACGUUACCGACAGAAUAAGCACCGGCUAACUUCGUGCCAGCCGCCGCCGUAA
rnacentral:rRNA from 1 species